GGUUCGAUGGCGUAGCGGUUAUCGCAUCUGUCUUACAUGAGCGAGGAUAUUAAUUGUAUGCACAGAAGGUCUCCGGUUCGAUCCCGGGUCGAAUCA